GACGAACGCUGGCGGCGUGCUUAACACAUGCCAGUCGAACGGAAAGGCCCUGCUUGCAGGGUGCUCGAGUGGCGAACGGGUGAGUAACACGUGGGUGAUCUGCCCCUUACUUUGGGAUAAGCCUGGGAAACUGGGUCUAAUACUGGAUAGGACCAUGCUGUAGGUGGUGUGGUGGAAAGAUUAGUUUCGGUAAGGGAUGAGCUCGCGGCCUAUCAGCUUGUUGGUGGGGUAAUGGCCUACCAAGGCGUCGACGGGUAGCCGGCCUGAGAGGGUGGACGGCCACAUUGGGACUGAGAUACGGCCCAGACUCCUACGGGAGGCAGCAGUGGGGAAUAUUGCACAAUGGGCGCAAGCCGGAUGCAGCGACGCCGCGUGGGGGAUGACGGCCUUCGGGUUGUAAACUCCUUUCAGCCAUGACGAAGCCCUUGUGGUGACGGUAGUGGUAGAAGAAGCACCGGCUAACUACGUG
rnacentral:rRNA from 1 species